AGAGGUUUGAAUCAUGGGCUCAGAUUGAACGCUGGCGGCAUGCCUUACACAUGNNAGNCGAACGGCAGCACGGGGGCAACCCUGGUGGCGAGUGGCGAACGGGUGAGUAAUAUAUCGGAACGUGCCCUAGAGUGGGGGAUAACUAGUCGAAAGAUUAGCUAAUACCGCAUACGAUCUAUGGAUGAAAGUGGGGGAUCGCAAGACCUCAUGCUCCUGGAGCGGCCGAUAUCUGAUUAGCUAGUUGGUAGGGUAAAAGCCUACCAAGGCUACGAUCAGUAGCUGGUCUGAGAGGACGACCAGCCACACUGGAACUGAGACACGGUCCAGACUCCUACGGGAGGCAGCAGUGGGGAAUUUUGGACAAUGGGGGCAACCCUGAUCCAGCAAUGCCGCGUGAGUGAAGAAGGCCUUCGGGUUGUAAAGCUCUUUUGUCAGGGAAGAAACGGUGAGAGCUAAUAUCUCUUGCUAAUGACGGUACCUGAAGAAUAAGCACCGGCUAACUACGUGCCAGCAGCCGCGGUAAUACGUAGGGGGCAAGCGUUAAUCGGGAUUUACUGGGGCGUAAAGCGUGCGCCAGGCGGGUUG
rnacentral:rRNA from 1 species